UACGUAGGUGGCAAGCGUUGUCCGGAAUUAUUGGGCGUAAAGCGCGCGCAGGUGGUUUCUUAAGUCUGAUGUGAAAGCCCACGGCUCAACCGUGGAGGGUCAUUGGAAACUGGGGAACUUGAGUGCAGGAGAGAAGAGUGGAAUUCCACGUGUAGCGGUGAAAUGCGUAGAGAUGUGGAGGAACACCAGUGGCGAAGGCGACUCUUUGGCCUGUAACUGACACUGAGGCACGAAAGCUAGGGGAGCAAACAGG
rnacentral:rRNA from 1 species